GUCCACGCCCUAAACGAUGUCAACUGGUUGUUGGGUCUUCACUGACUCAGUAACGAAGCUAACGCGUGAAGUUGGCCGCCUGGGGAGUACGGCCGCAAGGUUUAAACUCAAAGGAAUUGACGGGGACCCGCACAAGCGGUGGAUGAUGUGGUUUAAUUCGAUGCAACGCGAAAAACCUUACCCACCUUUGACAUGUACGGAAUCCUUUAGAGAUAGAGGAGUGCUCGAAAGAGAGCCGUAACACAGGUGCUGCAUGGCUGUCGU
rnacentral:rRNA from 1 species